UCCCAAGUGGUGCAGUGGGUUAAGCAUCUGGCAUUGUCAUCGCUGUGGCACAGGUUUGAUCCCUGGCUCGGGAA
rnacentral:tRNA from 1 species